rnacentral:snRNA from 1 species
AUACUUACCUGGCAUAGAGGAUACCGUAAUCAUGCAGGCGGUUCCCUCAGGGCGAGGCUGCUCCAUUGCGCUGCGGAGUGGUUGACCCUUGCGAUUAUUUUUAUUUUUAUCAAUAAAAUAAUCACAAUAAAAAAUGUAUACCCGAAUAAUUAUUUUCUUUAUAC